rnacentral:rRNA from 1 species
AUGAACGCUAGCUACAGGCUUAACACAUGCAAGUCGAGGGGCAGCAUGAACUUAGCUUGCUAAGUUUGAUGGCGACCGGCGCACGGGUGAGUAACACGUAUCCAACCUGCCGAUGACUCGGGGAUAGCCUUUCGAAAGAAAGAUUAAUACCCGAUGGCAUAGUUCUUCCGCAUGGUGGAACUAUUAAAGAAUUUCGGUCAUCGAUGGGGAUGCGUUCCAUUAGGUUGUUGGCGGGGUAACGGCCCACCAAGCCUUCGAUGGAUAGGGGUUCUGAGAGGAAGGUCCCCCACAUUGGAACUGAGACACGGUCCAAACUCCUACGGGAGGCAGCAGUGAGGAAUAUUGGUCAAUGGACGAGAGUCUGAACCAGCCAAGUAGCGUGAAGGAUGACUGCCCUAUGGGUUGUAAACUUCUUUUAUACGGGAAUAAAGUGAGGCACGCGUGCCUUUUUGUAUGUACCGUAUGAAUAAGGAUCGGCUAACUCCGUGCCAGCAGCCGCGGUAAUACGGAGGAUCCGAGCGUUAUCCGGAUUUAUUGGGUUUAAAGGGAGCGUAGGCGGACGCUUAAGUCAGUUGUGAAAGUUUGCGGCUCAACCGUAAAAUUGCAGUUGAUACUGGGUGUCUUGAGUACAGUAGAGGCAGGCGGAAUUCGUGGUGUAGCGGUGAAAUGCUUAGAUAUCACGAAGAACUCCGAUUGCGAAGGCAGCCUGCUGGACUGUAACUGACGCUGAUGCUCGAAAGUGUGGGUAUCAAACAGGAUUAGAUACCCUGGUAGUCCACACAGUAAACGAUGAAUACUCGCUGUUUGCGAUAUACAGUAAGCGGCCAAGCGAAAGCGUUAAGUAUUCCACCUGGGGAGUACGUUCGCAAGAAUGAAACUCAAAGGAAUUGACGGGGACCCGCACAAGCGGUGGAGCAUGUGGUUUAAUUCGAAGCAACGCGAAGAACCUUACCAAGUCUUGACAUCCUUCUGACCGGUACUUAACCGUACCUUCUCUUCGGAGCAGGAGUGACAGGUGGUGCAUGGUUGUCGUCAGCUCGUGCCGUGAGGUGUCGGCUUAAGUGCCAUAACGAGCGCAACCCUUAUCGAUAGUUACCAUCAGGUGAUGCUGGGGACUCUGUCGAGACUGCCGUCGUAAGAUGUGAGGAAGGUGGGGAUGACGUCAAAUCAGCACGGCCCUUACGUCCGGGGCUACACACGUGUUACAAUGGGGGGUACAGAAGGCAGCUACACGGCGACGUGAUGCUAAUCCCUAAAGCCUCUCUCAGUUCGGAUUGGAGUCUGCAACCCGACUCCAUGAAGCUGGAUUCGCUAGUAAUCGCGCAUCAGCCACGGCGCGGUGAAUACGUUCCCGGGCCUUGUACACACCGCCCGUCAAGCCAUGAAAGCCGGGGGUACCUGAAGUGCGUAACCGCAAGGAGCGCCCUAGGGUAAAACUGGUGAUUGGGGCU